CCAGUGAUGAAGUCAUCAGGAUGGUAGGGAUGUCAGGAAAGGGGACUAUACCAGGUUAGACAGAGACCUACUCAGCAUCUUAACUAAUGGUGAGAUGGGCAGCUCUCAAAAGAGGCACAAACAAUUGAAGGAUGGAUACCAUGACAUAUGUUAAAAGCGUGUUGAAAGGAAAAUAAGAAAGCCAGGAAUCUCAGGAUGAAUCAGUCUAGAUCGAGAUCAGAUGGUGGCAGUGAAGAAACCUUAUCUCAAGACCAUAAUCAUCAUGAAAAUGAGAGAAGAUGGCAGCAAGAGCGUCUCCACAGAGAAGAGGCCUAUUAUCAGUUUAUUAAUGAACUCAAUGAUGAAGAUUAUCGGCUUAUGAGAGACCAUAAUCUUUUAGGCACCCCUGGAGAAAUAACAUCAGAAGAACUGCAACAGCGGUUAGAUGGCGUCAAGGAACAACUAGCAUCUCAGCCUGACUUCAGAGAUGGAACGAAUUACAGAGACUCAGAAGUCCCUAGAGAAAGUUCACAUGAAGAUUCUCUUCUAGAAUGGUUGAACACCUUUCGGCGCACAGGAAAUGCAACUCGAAGUGGACAAAAUGGGAACCAAACUUGGAGAGCUGCUUUGCCGGAAACAGCCGAAGUGCUGCCAGAAAACCAGUUGUUAAGCCUAUCUGGAAAAAUAGACUGUGAAGCAAAAAUGACGGUGAAGUUAUUUCAAUAGCUCUGCUGGAACCUUGAGCCUAAGAGGGUGAAGAGAAUAACUCCCCAAUCAACUAAGUCACCCUCCAACAAUGUCCUCAUGAACAGCUCUCUUGGUCUAAAUGUCCCACGUGGGUAUGCAUUUUCUCAAACAGAAGCAUCUGUGGCCCCGCAGGAAGAACUAGGUCGUUCUUAUGACACUAAUAAAAAUAAAUGCAAGAAGAGUUGCUUUUCUUGAUUUCACCUACAACUAAGAUUCCGCUUACUGUAGUGUGUACUCAUGUCCUUCACUGAGACUGGUAGAAUGCUCUGGCACUCCCAAACACUCAAGAUUCUUGGGUAUAAAUAAUGGGGGACUCCGAUUUGCUUUUUCUUUAUUUUUCUUCGAUGUUUUACCAAAUGUGUUUCUUUUUCUUUGUCUGUAAAAUGAUUUGUUCAUCAGCUCAGCCUGAAGUAUAAAAUUAAAAGUUUAUGUUUUACCAAAAUUUAAACUUUGGUACAAGUUGUUUUGGGAAAAAUGAUAAAAGAUGUCAUGUUGCAUAAUAAAGCUAUCUUGCCUAAUAGAAAAGAGGUCAUGAAGAAAACUCACAAAUUAAAGGCAAGAGGCGACAUAGAAAACAUUUUUCUAAGCAGGAUGUUCUGUCACUUUGAAUCACCUUUUGUUUGUAUGAAAUUCGUACCAUAUUCUUGAUUUCAAUGAACUCACGUAGUGAGUAUCAUCUCACGCCUCAAAGUCAGGUGUACAAGAAUGAAUAUAUCUCAUUAUUUUCUAUAAAUCAGUUUAAUUUCCAUUCUGAUUUUCCCAACCAACAGGACUAGUAAGAAAUUUGACCUCAAUCAUUCUUGCGGCUCUGCCUCAAGAAGUACCAACUUUCCAGGGUCUUACACAGUGCAAAGCAUUGGAACACUUCAUUCUUCUGUCAUCUGCCCACACAGUCACCAGCAAGACACAUGGUCCUUUUUGGUCUGGCAGCUCGAUGAGGCUUCUGUGACAGGUGCGGGGAGCUGGAACCUUUGGGGAGGUUGGAAACCCCCAUACCCAUGUCUCCCAUCCCCAGGAAAACCCCCAUAUGCCACUCCUGGAGCACAUUGUCUUCUGGGGGCUUUCCCCAGGAACAAAGAGAUGCCUUUCAACUCUCUCCUCUAGUCCAGGGACAAAUCCCGUUUUUCAGACCCUAUUCUAUUUAGUGGGUUAUUAGAAACAAAGACCAGAAAUUCUUGAAGGCUACUUCUAUUUUAUGUCUUGGCAAAAAUGACACCUCUGAGGAAAUGAACCAAAAAUCCUGAUACCAGUUUGAAAGAAGAUAAGGCAAAAAGGAAAAUAUUGGAAGUAAAAUCCAAUUAAAUUUUCAAAAAGUUAUCCAUGAAUGGAUUAUCAAUAUGUUGUAUAUCCACACAAUGGAAUAUUAGUCAGCCAUAAAAAGGAUGGAAGUACUGAUACAUGCUCCAACAUGAUUAACCUUGAAAACAUUAUACUAAUUUUUUUUUUGAGACAUAGUCUCACUCUGUCACCCAGGCGGAGUGCAGUGGUGCGAUCUCAACUCUCUGCAACUUCCACUUCCCAGGUUCAAGCGAUUCUCCUGCCUCAGACUCCUGAGUAGCUGGGAUUACAAGCACAUGCCACCACACCCAGCUAAUUUUUGCAUUUUUAGUAGAGACAGGGUUUCACCAUGUUGGCCAGGCUCAUCUCGAACUCCUAGCACUAAAGCAAGAACUAUUCCAGACUUUUAAUCUUGUUUUAACAAAGCUUACCUUAAAUCUUAAAAAACAGGCCUCUAAAGCAUCAAGAGGCUACAUAACUAAUAUAACUGCCUGCAAAAAAACAAAGAAAACAAAAAGUAAUGGAAAACAAAAUCGAGACACUUAAGAAUUUAAUAAUCACAAUGUCCAACAUCCAGUCCAAAAUGCUGUUCAGAACAGGAAAAUAUGAUCUAUAACCAGGAUAAAAGUAAGUCAAUGGAAACAGACCAAGAAAUGACAGGGAUGAUGGAAUUAGCAUGUGAGAACUUUAAAACAGCUAUUAUAAACAUGUUUAAGGUCUUAAGGGUAGUAUGAUAGGGAGAGAAAUAGAAACAAUAGUAAAAGAACCAAAUAAAACUUCUGGAGCUUAAUCAUACAAUACAUAAGUGGAACACUUCACUGAAUAAGCUUAGCAGUAGAUUAAAUUAGACACUGCAGAAUGAAAAAUAAAAAGAAGACAUAGUAAUGGAAACUAUCCAAACUGAAGCACAAAGAGAAAGAAGGUUGAACAAAAAAAUGAAGACAGCCUCAGUUACCUAUGAGACAAUAUCAAGCAGUCUUACAUGCAUUAUAAGUUGCUUUGGAGUUGUAAAUAGAGAAAGGAACAGAAAAAGUGGCUGAAUAAAAAAAGACAGAACAUUUUCCAAACAUCAAGAUCCAAGAAGCACAACCAACUGAAAGCAGGCUAAACACACACACACACAUACACAGGUGUGCACGCACACUCACACAAAGCACACACACCCUCAAAAUACAUCAUAAUCAAUUGGCUGAAUUUCAAGAAUAAAAACAAAAAUUCUGAAAUCAGCUAAAAGUGAAAAACAUGUUAUAAAGUUAUCAAAGGGAAACCAAAUAGAGGACGACCUUGACUUCUCAGAAAAGCCAAAAGACAAUUUGCUGAAAGAAAAAUAAUGGUCAUCCUAAAUUGUAUAGCUAGUAAAAAUGUUCUCCAGAGUGAAGGGGAAAGAAAAGGUAUUUUCAGAUGAACAUAGAGAUUUUAUCAUUAAUGAAUCUGAACUAAAAGAAAUGGUGAAGGAAAUUAUUGAGGCAGAAGGAGCAUAAGAGAUGGAUAAUCUGAUCUACACAAAGGAAUAAAGAGCUCCAGAAAUAGUAAUUCUAGUACAAAUAUAAAAUAAUCUUAUGUUCUCAUUUGAAUAAAUAUCUUAUUUAUAUUUAAAGCAAAACAAAAAUGUGUUGUGAAGUUUAUAACAUCUGGAAGUGAAAAUAUAUAUUAACAACAGCAUGAAGGAAGGGAGGGAGAAAAUGAAAGUAUACCAUCAUACAGUCUUUACACUUUACAUUAUAUGGUAUAUUAUUUAAAAGUAAGCUUUUAUAAAUUAAAGAUAUACACUGUAAAUCUUAGAUCAACCACUAAAACCUUUCUGCCUAAUAAACCUGUAGAUGAGACAAAAUGGAAUACCACAAAAUAAUUAAAAAGAAGGCAGAAAAAGAGAAAAAGACAGAAAAUGAACAAAUUAAAAAUAAAUAGAAAGUUGGCCAAGGCACAGUGGCUCAUGCCUGUAAUCCCAGCACUUUGGGAGGCUGAGGCUGGCUAAUCACUUGAUGCCAGGAGUUCAAGACCAGCCUGGCCAAUAUGGUGAAACACUGUGCCUACUAAAAGUACAAAAAGUAGCUGAGCAUGGUGAAGCACACCUAUAAUCUCAGCUACUGGGGAGGCUGAGGCAAGAGAAUCACUUGAACCUGGGAGGCAGAGGUUGCAGGGAGCGAAAAUCUCACCACUGUACUGCAGCAUGAGUGACACAGAGAGAGGCUCUGUCUCAAAAUAUAAACACAUAAAUAGAAACCUGGUAGAUUUAAACCCAGCUAUACUGAUAAGUACACUAAACGUAAAUGGCUUAAAUACUCAAAAGUCAGAGACAGACUGAAAAAAAGCAAGAUACAAGUAUGUGGUAGUGACAAGAAAUAAACUUUAAAUAUAAAUACAUAAGAUUUAAAAGUUUUAGUGAACUAUUGCACAACCAAGUAAAUAUACUUAACACUACUGAAAUGUACACUUAAAUAUGGCUAAAUGGUAAAUUUAAUGCCAUGUGAUUUUUACCACAUUAAAAAUAUUCAAAUAUGUAGAUAAUUUUUAAAGGAUGGAAAAGCAGAUAAUUCACGAAAACACUAAAAGUGGGUUGCUUAUAUUAAUAUCAGAAAAAGUAGAGUUCAGGUCAACUAAUAUUACUGGAGAUAGCAAUAUCAGAAAAAGUAGAGUUCAGGUUAACUAAUAUUACUAGAGAUAACAAGGUACAUUUCAUAAUGAUAAAAGGACCAUUUUAAUCAAUAAUAUAUAACAAUCCUAAGAGUAUAUGCACACAAUUACAAGCCUUCAAAACACAUAAAGUAAAAAAUUAUAGAACUUAAAGGGGAAACAGACAAAUUCACAACUAUAGUUGGAAGCUUCAAAAUUCCUCUCUUAGUAAUUGAUAGAACAAGUAGAAAAUCAGUAAGUGCAUAGAGGAUUUGAACAACAAUAGUAUUGACUAAGUUAAUUGAAUUAAUAUUUAUUUAUUUAUUUUUUCCUGGUAAGUUUUGUAAUUGUUUUUUUGAAUUAGUAUUUAUAAUGCAUUACUUACACCAACAACAGGAUACACAUUUUUUUCAAGUGCAUAUGGAGUAUUCAUCAAUGUAAAAUAUAGGUUUGAUAAAUUUAAAAGCUUGAAAUCAUAUAGACUAUAUUCUCUGACCAUAAUAAAAUUAAAUUAACUACUACAAUUUAAAGGCAACAAGCUGGCUCCAAAACCCCUAGAUAUUUGGAACUUAAAAAACACAAAUAUAAUGAACUUA